rnacentral:rRNA from 1 species
AUUGAACGCUGGCGGCAGGCCUAACACAUGCAAGUCGAGCGGAUGAAGGGAGCUUGCUCCUGUAUUCAGCGGCGGACGGGUGAGUAAUGCCUAGGAAUCUGCCUGGUAGUUGGGGAUAACGUCCGGUAACGGGCGCUAAUACCGCAUACGUCCUGAUGUAGAAAGUGGGGGUUCUUCGGACCUCACGCUUUCAUCUGAGCCUAGGUCGGAUUAGCUAGUUGGUGGGGUAAAGGCCUACCAAGGCGACGAUCCGUAACUGGUCUGAGAGGAUGAUCAGUCACACUGGAACUGAGACACGGUCCAGACUCCUACGGGAGGCAGCAGUGGGGAAUAUUGGACAAUGGGCGAAGGCCUGAUCCAGCAAUGCCGCGUGUGUGAAGAAGGUCUUCGGAUUGUAAAGCACUUUAAGUAGGGAGGAAGGGAAGUAAGUUAAAACAUUGCUGUUUUGACGUUACCAAAAGAAAAAGCACCGGCUAACUACGUG